UACGGAGGAUGCGAGCGUUAUCCGGAUUUAUUGGGUUUAAAGGGUGCGUAGGCGGCUUUUUAAGUCAGCGGUGAAAUUUUGCAGCUUAACUGUAACAGUGCCGUUGAUACUGGAGAGCUAGGAUUUGGUUGCUGUGGGUGGAAUGUGUGGUGUAGCGGUGAAAUGCUUAGAGAUCACACAGAAUAUCGAUUGCGAAGGCAGCUCACAAAGCCAAGAUUGACGCUGAGGCACGAAAGUGUGGGGAUCAAACAGGA
rnacentral:rRNA from 1 species